AACCGCGGUUAUACGAGAAACCCUAGUUGAUAAAAACGGCGUAAAGAGUGGUUAGGGAAUUAAAUAAAUAAAGUCAAAUAUUUUUUUAGCUGUUAUAUGCAUUUAAAAUCUUGAAGCCCAAUCACGAAAGUAACUUUACCUUAUCCUGACCCCACGAAAGCUAAGAAA
rnacentral:rRNA from 1 species